GACUGAUUAAUCUCUGUUCAUUUGGGAAACCAAGUGUUCGAGAUUAGUACAACUCUGAGCGGUGGAUCACUCGGCUCGUGUGUCGAUGAAGAGUGCAGCCAACUGUGUGAAUUAAUGUGAACUGCAUACUGCUUUGAACAUCGACAUCUUGAACGCAUAU
rnacentral:rRNA from 1 species